rnacentral:lncRNA from 1 species
AUGGAAAAAAAUCUACAUUUCAUUGCAGAGGGAGAACUCGACGCCAAUGUCCUAUUCGACAGAGACCGCAGCAACCUGUAUGCCUCGUGGACGGCAGAGGGAAGCUUCGGAAAAUUCAUUCCACGUGUGACGGGAGACCCCCAACUGUGGGAAUGGACGCGAGAACUGGAAGAUGCACUCCCCAAAGACCUGGGCGCCUGCUGCUGUCUCCCUCUGACGUCUGCGGCACGAGGCUUUGUCACGUGCGGCCACGGCCUGGCUGACACGGAGCGCCAGUGCCCAGACGCUGCGAAGGGGUUAUAUCUGCAUCCAAAGACCAAAAUUUCUUCACCAUUCAAGACCAAGACAUUUUAAUAAACCUACCUCAGUCUCCAAGGGCAAUUUCUCUCUAACAAAUUUAUGUUUCCAUAGCGGCAGCAUCAUUAAAACAGGUUUUACGGCUUGUCUUCAUAUAGUAACGACUUUGAAGGGACAUAAUAAUUCAGAUAUACAGCCCUAGGAUCUUUGUUGGAGACAAAGCUUUCCUCAAAAGCCCUUUUUAGUGUAUUCAUUCUUAACUCAGCCGCUGGGCAGUCUCACUGUGAGUGUUAGCGUUUUCCAUUCCUAAGCACAUUCUAGUUUUGCUUACACAUGUGAAAAGAGGUUGUUUUAUAUUCUUAAAUCUCCCUUUUAAUAUUCAAAUGCCAUUUUAAAGUUUCUGAAGGAUGCGCGUGGAAAUAAUACUUUUGCAAAGAAUGUACCCGGCUGUCCUCAACCCUGGCUCUGCUUUAAAAUCACCUGAGGUGCUUUGAAACUACCUGCCCAGGUCCCAUGUCACAAGAAGUAAGUCACAGGCUCUGGGGGUGAUGCCUAGGUGACUCACAUGUGUGCAACCACGCGUGCGAGUCACAGAGCCCUAAACCUGGCUAGGGUGAGGUGCCAGAGGGGAGGUCAGAGAGCCCUGGAGACCCAGGUGGGGCCCCCACUUUCCUACAAUGAGAAACUGUUGGAUGCUCACCAACCAGGGGUCUCACCGUCUUGGGCACAGUGACCAAGACAUGGAACUUUUCGGAUGAAAACAGGAGGGUCUCAGGAGACCUAGGAUGGCCACCCUACUUGUGGCUCAACACAAAGUGCUCUCCAUACUCUGCGUUGGAAUGAGGCCGCCAUGACUUUGUGGCCUUCAUGUCUUGGCCAGCGCCACUUGGAUUUCUGAGCUCAUCUAGGGGGCCUCCCUCUGAUGGACAUGCAGACCCGCUAUGGUUUCUCUGCUCAGUCAUUUAGUUGCUGGGAGGAGGGAUUUCCUCAGAGUUUGUUUAGAGCAUGGCUUGGAGCCUUGACCAUUAGGAAGCAUUGUUUGCUAAUCUGUGCUUGAGCAUGGGUGCCUUUCCUUGGGCCUGACUAUUGAAUCUCCAGGAUAUGGGGGAAGAGGAGGAAGGUACCGGUGUUUAUUGUGAGCUGUUUUAUGUAUGUGAUCUCAUGUGAUCCUUCUAGCAACCUUAUGAAGUCGGUUCUUUCAGAUGAGAGCGAAAGCUGAGUCCCAGACAGGUUAGGUCAACCGUCCAGAACAAACUCAGAUCUAUACGACUACAACUCUGUGUUCUCCACACGGCGUUAUCUCUUUAAAGGCUUGAUCGACAAGGUGAACAGGGAAAAUUGCAGAUUUCUGGUGAUUUUGUAAAGUAGCUCUGUAGGCUGCUCCUCGCUGGGAGAAAGCACUGAGCGCUGCUACGGCAAGUUCUCAGUUGUCUUGGUGGAUGUGGGAAGGGAUGCCACAUAGCAUGUGGGGUUAGCUUCAGUUCAGAGCAUCACGUCGGGAAGAGGCGAUUCUGCUUGUGAGUGUGUCAGAGCAAAGAGCUGGGAUAUAAGGAAACAUGAUGUCGAGCACUGCAGCUGGAAAAAGAGGAGUCGAGGCCUCAAGAGGCCACUUUUCUGUUCAGUCCCGAUGCCUCCAGUCCAGUCAUUGGGGCAAAAUGUCCCAGGUCUCCUGAGGACGUGGACGGGAUCAUGGUGGGUCAAGCUGGAAAUGGUCAUCUGUGGAGCCAUAGGGGGUGGAAGACUGUCCAAGUGCCCAGGAAUGUUCUUCCAAAAGACAAUUUUUGCUAUAAAUGGCAUCUCAUCUGUGAUAAUUUAAAAAUAGAAUUUAUUUUGGUAAAUGCCGAUGGUGAUUUUUUUUUCAAAUAAAAAAUACCAUAUUAAUUAUGCA